rnacentral:SRP_RNA from 2 species
GCCGGGUGUGGUGGUGCACGCCUGCAGUCCCAGUUACUCAGGAGGCUGGGGCAGGAGAAUCACUUGAACCCAGGAGGCAGAGGUUGCAGUGAGCCAAGAUGGUGCCACUGCACUUCAGCCUGGGCGACAGAGUGAGACCCUGUCUCAA